UGUAAACAAGUCGAUACAUCAUUGGAUUUUUGUUUUAAUCAAUCGUUUUACAAAACCAAACCUCGCGACUUAACUUGUUCGUGCCACAAAUUUGAAUACGUUUUCUAUGGUAAAGACUGCAUUUAGAGAUACAGAUUGCCAGGCAUCAACUCGUUACGCAGAGCAAAGAUUACCGAUUGGUCGGCGGAGAUCACACGGCCUAUGCAUUCAGGAGUAUCAGGCAUACCCGGUAUGAUGGAUAUAUGGGACGCGAUAUCGGAAAACAGAAGCAAACGGAUCCAAGUAGUUUCCAAAGCAACCAUUGGCGAUUUGAUAAGACUGCAAGGCCUGGAUCCAAAGAACGAAUUGAACACUUCAGACUACCGUGCAGAAGAUACUCGAAUUUAUACAAAUAAACACUCUAAACGGAACGACAUCAACGCGACAAUGAACCUACAGCGCAGAACUUCAAUAUUUGUAGGAAAUAAGCUCCAAAGAAUGCGGAAAUUGCUAGAUCUAGAAGAAACGUUCAGUCGACGGUUUUUUUGUAUGUUCAUCUGAUUUCGUUUAAGGACACGAGCACUUGGGCAAUCUAAAUGCCUGCAUCGGAGCUGAGUUUUGUUUUCUAUGGCGAUAUGACGUAUGCAAAUGUGAAGAUGGCAGUGGAAAAUCAAAGCGGUUCUGCACGUAGUUUUGGAUCGUUCGGAUCGCAGCUAUUACUAUGCGAUGCCGGGGUUCUGGACGAAACAUCCAGCUGGACCAAUCCUAAAUAGUUCCUCUUUUAAAUUCAGAACAGACUUAUGGAAAGAGGUAGCCAAACCUGGAGCAAACGGCGCGUUUCUGUAUUGCAUCGCCAUGGCUAUUUGUCGAGCGUACUGGUGCCCCCCUUCUCAAGACGGUCUUAUGCGUUAUAUUCAUUCUGAUCCUGUACAAGAUAAAAGUUUAGAAAUACUGCGAACCACCAGACGAAAUGCUUCAUUUGUUAUUAUAGUGAUUCGAUGUGCAGAAGUCACGAUUUCCUAUUCUCAAGUUUGCUACAACCUAUGUUAAUCCUGGAACAUAAACAAAAGA